AGACUUUGAGCCACACAUUUACUUUUUACUGCUUAUGAGCAUUGAGUGUGGUCAAGCUGUGUAGAACCUUAGGAGCUUGUCAUGUGGUUAAAAUCAAGGUUCACUUGCACGUUCACUCAUAUAUGCUGAUUCUACUCCGAAAGUAUGCAUGCACAUACAUCCACUCAUUUCCAUCUCCAGAUUCACCCAAAAUUAUUCUACUCCUAAUCCGGGAGAGAAUAGCCAAAAACAUUUUCCUAUCCCUGUUAUUCCCUGUGAAAUAAAUGCUCCAGUUAUUUUGGUUACUACCACUUGCUACAUUAUUUCAGGAGAUGAGUGCUCUAAAAAAAAGAAUAAUAAUAAUAAUAAUACGAGGAAAUAAAAAGGGGCAAGUGCCCGGAACCUCGAAGAAAAGAAAAAGUGAGACGAGAGGUAAAAAUGGACAAGUGUCCGACAGUAGAAUUAGGGGUACAAGAUACCCACCUGAGAGGAAAGAAAAAGAAAAUAUAGAGCAUCUCAUUCUCCCCAAAAAGCUUCAAAGUGCAAGAAAGGUAUGUAUCCCCUUAAAAGAGCAAAAAUAGAAUUAGACUUUCACCAUUGUUAUCACCAUCAUUACCAUACACCAUUCAUUCGCCACACAUGCACAUCUUGAUUUGACUUAUUGACUUGUUUCUCUGGAUCCAUGGUUUGACUAUGCAAUAAAUGUCUUGUAAGUAUGUAUUAGCUGUCUCCGACCUAUGAGCUCCAGAUAUCAAAACCUUAUUAGAGUAAGGUGAGAGAGAAAGCAUAUACCAUUACUGCCUUGGUAAGGAUCCAGAAAUACCACAAAAGAGAGAUUUGAGAGAGUCAUACAAGGAAUCUCUGAGUUUUAUUUAAAAAUCUACAAAAACUCCAGAGCUAUAGCUGAUCAAGAAUAAGAGACAUGGCGCUUGACUUGACCGUUCUAUCUUUUAACUGCUCAAGACACAAGUGACGGUUACAAGCCCCAUGGUGAAAGGUAAAAUGAGUAAGUUUUAAGUCUUAACAGUUUAUUCUAACUCAGAGACG
rnacentral:lncRNA from 1 species